rnacentral:rRNA from 1 species
GACGGAGGGUGCAAGCGUUGUUCGGAAUCACUGGGCGUAAAGCGCGUGUAGGCGGUUCGAUAAGUCGGACGUGAAAGCCCGGGGCUUAACCCCGGAAGGGCAUCCGAAACUGUCGAGCUUGAGUACGGGAGAGGGAAGCGGAAUUCCUGGUGUAGAGGUGAAAUUCGUAGAUAUCAGGAGGAACACCGGUGGCGAAGGCGGCUUCCUGGACCGAUACUGACGCUGAGACGCGAAAGCGUGGGGAGCAAACAGGAUUAGAUACCCCCGUAGUCC